UGGGGAAUUUUGGACAAUGGGGGCAACCCUGAUCCAGCCAUGCCGCAUGAGUGAAGAAGGCCCUCGGGUUGUAAAGCUCUUUUGUCCGGAAAGAAAAGCAAUCGGUUAAUACCCGGUUGUUCUGACGGUACCGGAAGAAUAAGCACCGGCUAACUUCGUGCCAGCAGCCGCGGUAAUACGAAGGGUGCAAGCGUUACUCGGAAUUACUGGGCGUAAAGCGUGCGUAGGUGGUUCGUUAAGUCUGAUGUGA
rnacentral:rRNA from 1 species